rnacentral:pre_miRNA from 1 species
GAUUUCAACUAAAAAGUCAUCAACAACAAAGUUGUAUAACUCAUUGACAUAUAUAACUUUUAUUUGGUCAUUUCUUCAUCCGACAGAGUGAUAGUUACAUUAUUCAUAAAAUUUACACAUCUCUUAUAUAGCUUUAUAAAAUAAAAGAGAGAUCUGUAAUUUUUGUGAAAAUGUUACUAUCACUUUGUUGGAUGAAGAAAUGAACAAAAUAAAAGUUAUAAAUUAUGAUGAGUUAUACAACUUUGUUGUUGAUGACUUUUUCAGCUGAAAUU